GCCUACCAUUAAAUCACCCGAAAUGUGCCCAAUCUCAUCACAUCUCAGAAGCCAAUCAGGCCAGAGCCUGGUGAGUACUUGCAUGAGAGACUAUCUGGGCAUACCAGAUGUUGUAGGAU
rnacentral:rRNA from 1 species